CGUGCCAGCAGCCGCGGUAAUACGGAGGGGGUUAGCGUUGUUCGGAAUUACUGGGCGUAAAGCGCGCGUAGGCGGAUUAGAAAGUUGGGGGUGAAAUCCCGGGGCUCAACCCCGGAACUGCCUCCAAAACUGCUAGUCUAGAGUUCGAGAGAGGUGAGUGGAAUUCCGAGUGUAGAGGUGAAAUUCGUAGAUAUUCGGAGGAACACCAGUGGCGAAGGCGGCUCACUGGCUCGAUACUGACGCUGAGGUGCGAAAGUGUGGGGAGCAAACAGGAUUAGAUACCCUGGUAGUCCACACCGUAAACGAUGAAUGCCAGUCGUCGGGUAGUAUACUAUUCGGUGACACACCUAACGGAUUAAGCAUUCCGCCUGGGGAGUACGGUCGCAAGAUUAAAACUCAAAUGAAUUGACGGGG
rnacentral:rRNA from 1 species